GGUGCGUAGGCGGGGCGGUAAGUCAGUGGUGAAAGCCUGCAGCUUAACUGUAGAAUUGCCAUUGAUACUGUCGCUCUUGAAUGCGGUUGAGGCAGGCGGAAUGUGUAAUGUAGCGGUGAAAUGCUUAGAUAUUACACAGAACACCGAUUGCGUAGGCAGCUUGCUAAACCGUGAUUGACGCUGAGGCACGAAAGCGUGGGGAGCAAACAGGAUUAGAUACCCUGGUAGUCCACGCUGUAAACGAUGAUCACUCGCUGUUGGCGAUAUACUGUCAGCGGCUAAGCGAAAGCAUUAAGUGAUCCACCUGGGGAGUACGACGGCAACGUUGAAACUCAAAGGAAUUGACGGGGGCCCGCACAAGCGGAGGAACAUGUGGUUUAAUUCGAUGAUACGCGAGGAACCUUACCUGGGCUUAAAUGGGAGACGACUUCUGCCGAAAGGUGGAUUUCCUUCGGGACGGCUCUCAAGGUGCUGCAUGGUUGUCGUCAGCUCGUGCCGUGAGGUGUCGGGUUAAGUCCCAUAACGAGCGCAACCCCUAUCGUUAGUUGCCAACGGGUAAUGCCGGGGACUCUAGCGAAACUGCCAGCGUAAGCUGGAGGAAGGUGGGGAUGACGUCAAAUCAGCACGGCCCUUACGUCCAGGGCUACACACGUGUUACAAUGGCCGGUACAGAGGGCUGCUACUGGGCGACCAGAUGCUAAUCUCUAAAGCCGGUCUUAGUUCGGAUUGAAGUCUGAAACUCGACUUCAUGAAGUUGGAUUCGCUAGUA
rnacentral:rRNA from 1 species